rnacentral:rRNA from 1 species
UACGUAGGUGGCAAGCGUUGUCCGGAAUUAUUGGGCGUAAAGCGCGCGCAGGCGGUUUCUUAAGUCUGAUGUGAAAGCCCACGGCUCAACCGUGGAGGGUCAUUGGAAACUGGGGAACUUGAGUGCAGAAGAGGAAAGUGGAAUUCCAAGUGUAGCGGUGAAAUGCGUAGAGAUUUGGAGGAACACCAGUGGCGAAGGCGACUUUCUGGUCUGUAACUGACACUGAGGCGCGAAAGCGUGGGGAGCGAACAGG